GAAGCACCAAAUGACACAAAUGAGCCAAUCAUGCUCCAGCCAAUCAAUCAGAGAAAACCUAAUAGAGAUUUUGAUUUUAUUCCUUGGAUUCAGUAAGCAAGUCUAAACUUGCUUCACAUUUUACCUUAAUCACAAAAAUAUAGAGAAAAAGAAAUGCCUAAAAAUUGGCUUACUUAAAGUAGUAGUUCUUUUGUCUUAUAACUUUAAGAUCCAAACAGCCGUGACUAAAUUGCGGGUUUUUAACUUGCACAAGAAAUGAAAAUAUCUACAGUGAACUAACCUUAAUCAAGUUGAAUUAUCGAACCACAAAAUGCAAUCUUUCCAAUUUUUUUAUCAUCACUUGCAUCGUUUUCCCAGCACCCAAACAGAAAAAGCUAAGGAAGUAAAAUAUAAAAAGCAAAAUUUCCUCUCAAAACAGAGGAAAGAAAGGCCCG
rnacentral:lncRNA from 1 species